rnacentral:lncRNA from 1 species
GUCUUCCCAUGGGCUCCCCAAUUUUGCUCAUCUCAGUGCUGUGGAGGAGGGAUGGGACAGAAGGCAGAACAGCAUUCUGCUGCUGGAGGGUACAGUGGAGACCCGUCUGCACCUCUCUUUGAAGCUGGAAGGUCAUCUUCAUGAACCAUCACUAGAACUAUCUACAUCCCAGAUCAAGUUGUGCCCAGCACCGUCCAGGCUGCUGCCACAAGAUGUGCACAGGCUUUCCCUACGCUGCAGCAGCCCCAGAAUGCUAAGCUGAUUUCUGAGACAGCUGAAAAUAAAUCAGAGCAGGCCUGAGGCUUCUCUACUCAACUUCAGUGCUCCUACUGGCUAGCUGGGCUCCUUUUCUAGCCAAUGGAUAAAGAGUAGGACAUGAAAUUUGACUUCUACUCUGGCUCAGUUUUGGGAGCUGCUGGUGUUUUCUCCACUCCCUGGAAGUAUAACCAGAAAUGUUAACUAAUUGAGCUGCCUAAAAUCAUGUGACAUGAGCGUUCCUCCUGUGUUCCUAGAUGUGCUUCUGUGCCAAGCCCAGCUUGAGUAAUCAGUGCUUCUGUAUUCCACCAGCAGUUUUUUAAGCUUUUUGAUGUCUUCUUUUGAAUGUAAUCUUUUUUCUACUAACAUGAGUGAAUAAUUCAAUGCAUAUGUUUUGGUAGUGGGAAAUCUAUGAGAAUGCCAAGCAAAUCAGUG